AAUCCGCCCAUCUUGACCUCCCAAAGUGCUGGGAUUACAGGCGUGAGCCACCGCACUCGGCCACUUAUUUGCUUUUCAAAGCUGAUUUCAAGUCGUCCCAUUCCAUAGGCUCCUGGACCCAAGAUACCUGACGCAUCAACUUAGCUAUGCUGGACCGUCGAGGAUGGACACACACGUGCAGGCCUCCGGGAAGAGGUUUGGUGGCUGGAGCUCCACCUUGCGGGAGAACUGGGGCUUAUCCACACGGUGGAGGAAGGCUCCAGAAGAGCUGCAAGAGCAGGUAAAAGCCUCUGCCUGGGCCUCUCUUCUCCUAAUUGUUUUCAUAAUUGUUUAAAAACCCCAACCAACUGGUACCGCGAAUGCUGUACAGAUUCAAUAUGCAAACAGAUUCAAAGGUGGGGGCGUUCCCCCAACAAGACCAAAGACCUCAGGGCCUGGUAUUGGAAUUGGGAGUGUAGUGCUCGUGUUUUGGGUGGAUUGCUGGGUGUGUGGCAUGUCCGAGCUUUGGCCAGCUGUGAACAGAGGAACAGUCACUGUUCCCAGGCAGUAACGUUUGGUUUCAAGUGUUUGGAGUGUCUGGUUUCACGUGUCAGGUAAUUUCUGAAAGGAUGCCAGGUAGGUGGAGCUCCUUGCUGGGCUCCUUCUCAGUGUGGGCCACAGUGUCCUUCUCAGGGUUGUUUCUCUGAAUCCUGAAUUGUGAGUCCCGGCGUCUCUCCUGACAUGCCCACAUUGUUGACCUCGACCUUUCAGGCCAACUGCAAAUGUCUCCUGCGGAAGGGCUGGCACCAGUGGCCCUGAGAGCGGGUGCUGCCAGUGUGCCUGUGUUUAAUAUCCUGCUGACCAGAGCAACUCCAGCCCAGUUCAAAUCUCUGCAAACAUCCAUCGCAAGUACACUAUGGGCUGCACAGAACAUGGGUGAGGGUUUGUGAAGGUUUAGGGCCAUUGGAUGAAACCUACAGCAUGAAGGAGUACGGUUGAGAUUCUCACACUCCCUGCGCUGUGUGUUUCCAAGGAGAGAGGCCGAAGAGAAGGCAGCCUCUCUUCGUCCCUCACUGGCCUCUUCUACGGCCCAGGGUCAUGCCUCAAAUCUCCUUCUCAUUCCCUCAUGAAACCCGCGGGGGGUUAGAAACAGUGUCUCUGGGGCCAGGCUGACCACCAGGAAAUUCCAACCAACCCACUGGGACCCCUAGGGUGAGCAAAGCCAAGGGUGCAGGGCUGGACAGGGAGACCAGAAACCACCUUAUCCGAUUUCCCCUUUUAUAUUAUCUAUGUUUUACAAUAAAUCAGGCUGUAAUCUUUAA